rnacentral:misc_RNA from 1 species
AUUUUGUUGACCAUGAGUCCAGAGUUCAGUUUUGAUUGAGCAGUCACUCGGAAAGGAGUGUCCCGUUUGAUCUACAUAUUUUAAAAAGUGCUUGACAAUCGGUAGCUACUGAAAGAUUUAUAUCAUUGGAAAUUUCGUGUUUUCCGUAACUCGGAAAUUUUUCCAUAAGCACUGGGUCCUACUUGACAGACGUUGACGUUGCCUAGUUCUUCGCGAUACGGUUCAACUUUCAACUACUAUCCCUACGUUGUGCUGAAAAAUUCGUACAAGGCUUUCAAUCAGUCAUCACUGUGCCUAGUUCAUCGCAGUACUUAUUCAACUUCCAACCACGAAGGGCAGGCGUUGCAUGGCAUUGCACAAUUCGUUUACAGGUAUGACAUAAAUAUCAGUAUGAUAUAAGUUAGAGUACAUUAUAAAAAUAUAUUCAAUGUAAUAGUGUAUUAUAAUAUCACA